GUCUUUUUGAGAAUAAUUUAAAGUCUAAUCUGCCCACUGAAUUAAUUUAAAGGGCUGCAGUAUAUUGACUGUACAAAGGUAGCAUAAUCAAUAGUCUUUUAAUUGAAGACUUGUAUGAAUGAUUUGAUGAGAUAUAGACUGUCUCUUUAUUAUAAAUUGAAAUUAAUUUUUUAGUUAAAAAGCUAAAAUAAUUAUAAAAGACGAGAAGACCCUAUAGAGUUUAAUAACUUUUUUUAUUUUAAUUUUGUAUAAAAUUUAAAAUUAAAAUAAAAAAAGUUAUUUUGUUGGGGUGAUAGAAAAAUUAAAAAAACUUUUUUUAAAAAAAAAUUACAUUAAUUUAUGAUUAAAUGAUCCAUAAUUUAUGAUUAUAAGAAUAAAUUACCUUAGGGAUAACAGCGUAAUUUUUUUUUUUAGUUCAAAUAAAAAUUAAAGUUUGCGACCUCGAUGUUGGAUUAAGAUAAAAUUUAAAUGCAAAAGUUUAAAAUUUUGAUCUGUUCGAUCAUUAAAAUCUUACA
rnacentral:rRNA from 1 species